rnacentral:rRNA from 1 species
UACGGAGGAUGCAAGCGUUAUCCGGAAUGAUUGGGCGUAAAGCGUCCGCAGGUGGCUAUGUAAGUCUGCUGUUAAAGAGUGAGGCUCAACCUCAUAAGAGCAGUGGAAACUACAUGGCUAGAGUGCGUUCGGGGCAGAGGGAAUUCCUGGUGUAGCGGUGAAAUGCGUAGAGAUCAGGAAGAACACCGGUGGCGAAAGCGCUCUGCUAGGCCGUAACUGACACUGAGGGACGAAAGCUAGGGGAGCGAAUGGG